rnacentral:misc_RNA from 1 species
GAUGAAGAACGUGGCGAAAUGCGAUAAGUAAUGUGAAUUGCAGAAUUCAGUGAAUCAUCGAAUCUUUGAACGCACCUUGCGCUCCUUGGUAUUCCGAGGAGCAUGCCUGUUUGAGUGUCAUGAAAUUCUCAACCUUUUCAGCUUUCUUUGUUGAUCAGGCUUGGAUGUGGGAGUAUGCGGGCUUCUCAGAAGUCGGCUCUCCUGAAAUGCAUUAGCGGGACCUUUGUUGCCUGGCUUUGGUGUGAUAAUUAUCUACGCCAUUGUAGUCAAGCAGCUUAAAAUGAGGUUUCAGCUUCUAACCGUCUCCCCUGAGACAACUUUUUGACAAUUUGACCUCAAAUCAGGUAGGACUACCCGCUGAACUUAAGCAUAUCAAUAAGCGGAGGA